rnacentral:tRNA from 1 species
GGUGUAGCUCAGCUUGGUAGAGUGCUCGCUUUGGGAGCGAGAGGCCGCAGGUUCAAAUCCUGUCACC